UGGGGCUUGGGUUAGGUUUAAGGUAUUUGGCGUUAGGGUUAAAAUCACUGUCCAAAACCUUUUUAGGAACAUGUUUCAGACCUUUUGGAGUUGGUUACACCAAAAAAAAUGUAAAAUGAAAAAAAAAAUAUUUGGGGUGUUCGGGCUUCCUGAAGGUAAUACCCGGGUAUUAGGUUAUGGGGCUAGGGUAAGGUUUAAGGUUUUUGGCGUUAGGGUUAAAAUCACUGUCCAAAACCUUUUUAGGAACAUGUUUAAGACCUUUUGGAGUUGGUUACACCAAAAAAAAUGUAAAAUGAAAAAAAAAAUAUUUGGGGUGUUCGGGCUUCCUGAAGGUAAUACCCGGGUAUUAGGUUAUGGGGCUAGGGUAAGGUUUAAGGUUUUUGGCGUUAGGGUUAAAAUCACUGUCCAAAACCUUUUUAGGAACAUGUUUCAGACCUUUUGGAGUUAGUUAGACCAAAAAAAAAUGAAAAUGAAAAAAAAAAUAUAAUUGGGGUGUUCGGGCUUCCUGAAGGUAAUACCCGGGUAUUAGGUUUUGGGGCUAGGGUAAGGUUUAAGGUUUUUGGCGUUAGGGUUAAAAUCACUGUCCAAUAUUUUUUAAGGAACAUGUUUCAGACCUUUUGGAGUUAGUUACACCAAAAAAAAUGUAAAAUGAAAAAAAAAAAAUAUUUGGGGUGUUCGGGCUUCCUGAAGGUAAUACCCGGGUAUUAGGUUAUGGGGCUAGGGUAAGGUUUAAGGUUUUUGGCGUUAGGGUUAAAAUCACUGUCCAAAACCUUUUAGGAACAUGUUUCAGACCUUUUGGAGUUGGUUACACCAAAAAAAAUGUAAAAUGAAAAAAAAUAUUUUGGGGUGUUCGGGCUUCCUGAAGGUAAUACCCGGGUAUUAGGUUAUGGGGCUAGGGUAAGGUUUAAGGUUUUUGGCGUUAGGGUUAAAAUCACUGUCCAAAACCUUUGUAGGAACAUCUUUUCCAGACCUUUUGGAGUUAGUUAGACCAAAAAAAAAGAUAAAAUGAAAAAAAAAUAUUUGGGGUGUUCGGGCUUCCUGAAGGUAAUACCCGGGUAAGGUUUAAGGUUUUUGGCGUAAGGGUUAAAAUCACUGUCCAAAACCUUUUUAGGAACAUGUUUCAGACCUUUUGGAGCUAGUUUGACCAAAAAAAAAGAAAAAUGAAAAAAAAAUAUUUGGGGUGUUCGGGCUUCCUGAAGGUAAUACCCGGGUAUUAGGUUAUGGGGCUAGGGUAAGGUUUAAGGUUUUUGGCGUUAGGGUUAAAAUCCCUGUCCAAAACCUUUGUAGGAACAUGUUUCAGACCUUUUGGAGUUAGUUACACAAAAAAAAAAUGUAAAAUGAAAAAAAAAUAUUUGGGGUGUUCGGGCUUCCUGAAGGUAAUACCCGGGUAUUAGGUUAUGGGGCUAGGGUAAGGUUUAAGGUUUUUGGCGUUAGGGUUAAAAUCACUGUCCAAAACCUUUUUAGGAACAUGUUUCAGACCUUUUGGAGUUGGUUACACCAAAAAAAAAUGUAAAAUGAAAAAAAAAUAUUUGGGGUGUUCGGGCUUCCUGAAGGUAAUACCCGGGUAUUAGGUUUUGGGGCUAGGGUAAGGUUUAAGGUUUUUGGCGUUAGGGUUAAAAUCACUGUCCAAAACCUUUGUAGGAACAUUUUCAGACCUUUUGGAGUUAGUUAGACCAAAAAAAAAAAAAUGAAAAAAAAUAUAUUGGGGUGUUCGGGCUUCCUGAAGGUAAUACCCGGGUAUUAGGUUAUGGGGCUAGGGUAAGGUUUAAGGUUUUUGGCGUUAGGGUUAAAAUCACUGUCCAAAACCUUUUUAGGAACAUGUUUCAGACCUUUUGGAGUUGGUUACACCAAAAAAAAUGUAAAAUGAAAAAAAAAUAUAUUUGGGGUGUUCGGGCUUCCUGAAGGUAAUACCCGGGUAUUAGGUUAUGGGGCUAGGGUAAGGUUUAAGGUUUUUGGCGUUAGGGUUAAAAUCACUGUCCAAAACCUUUUAGGAACAUGUUUCAGACCUUUUGGAGUUGGUUACACCAAAAAAAUGUAAAAUGAAAAAAAUAUAUAUUUGGGGUGUUCGGGCUUCCUGAAGGUAAUACCCGGGUAUUAGGUUAUGGGGCUAGGGUAAGGUUUAAGGUUUUUGGCGUAAGGGUUAAAAUCACUGUCCAAAACCUUUUUAGGAACAUGUUUCAGACCUUUUAGAGUUGGUUACACCAAAAAAAAAAGAAAAAGAAAAAAUAUAUAUUUGGGGUGUUCGGGCUUCCUGAAGGUAAUACCCGGGUAUUAGGUUAUGGGGCUGGUAAGGUUUAAGGUUUUUGGCGUAGGGUUAAAAUCACUGUCCAAAACCUUUGUAGGAACAGUCUUUUCCAGACCUUUUGGAGUUAGUUAGACCAAAAAAAAAAAAAAUGAAAAAAAAAUAUUUGGGGUGUUCGGGCUUCCUGAAGGUAAUACCCGGGUAUUAGGUUAUGGGGCUAGGGUAAGGUUUAAGGUUUUUGGCGUUAGGGUUAAAAUCACUGUCCAAAACCUUUUUAGGAACAUGUUUCAGACCUUUUGGAGUUGGUUACACCAAAAAAAAUGUAAAAUGAAAAAAAAAUAUUUUGGGGUGUUCGGGCUUCCUGAAGGUAAUACCCGGGUAUUAGGUUAUGGGGCUAGGGUAAGGUUUAAGGUUUUUGGCGUUAGGGUUAAAAUCACUGUCCAAAACCUUUUAGGAACAUGUUUCAGACCUUUUGGAGUUGGUUAACCAAAAAAAAAUGUAAAAUGAAAAAAAAAAAUUUGGGGUGUUCGGGCUUCCUGAAGGUAAUACCCGGGUAUUA
rnacentral:lncRNA from 1 species